CCUACGGGGGGCAGCAGUGGGGAAUAUUGCGCAAUGGGGGAAACCCUGACGCAGCAACGCCGCGUGCGGGAUGAAGGCCUUCGGGUUGUAAACCGCUUUCAGCAGGGAAGAUCCAAGACGGUACCUGCAGAAGAAGCCCCGGCUAACUACGUGCCAGCAGCCGCGGUAAUACGGAGGAUGCGAGCGUUAUCCGGAUUUAUUGGGUUUAAAGGGUGCGCAGGCGGCACGGCAAGCCGGCGGUCAAAUCGCGGGGCUCAACCCCGCCCAGCCGUCGGAACUGCCGGGCUAGAGUGGGCGAGAAGGGG
rnacentral:rRNA from 1 species